AGAGUUUGAUCAUGGCUCAGGACGAACGCUGGCGGCGCGCCUAACACAUGCAAGUCGAACGGAGUUGAGAGGAGCUUGCUUUUCUUGACUUAGUGGCGAACGGGUGAGUAACGCGUGAGGAACCUGCCUCAAAGAGGGGGACAACAGUUGGAAACGACUGCUAAUACCGCAUAAGCCCACGGUCCCGCAUGGGAGAGAGGGAAAAGGAGCAAUCCGCUUUGAGAUGGCCUCGCGUCCGAUUAACCAGUUGGCGGGGUAACGGCCCACCAAAGCGACGAUCAGUAGCCGCGG
rnacentral:rRNA from 1 species